rnacentral:rRNA from 1 species
GACGAACGCUGGCGGCGUGCUUAACACAUGCAAGUCGAACGGUAAGGCCCUUCGGGGUACACGAGUGGCGAACGGGUGAGUAACACGUGGGUGAUCUGCCCUGCACUUCGGGAUAAGCCUGGGAAACUGAGUCUAAUACCGGAUAGGACCACUGCCUGCAUGGGUGGUGGUGGAAAGCUUUUGCGGUGUGGGAUGGGCCCGCGGCCUAUCAGCUUGUUGGUGGGGUGAUGGCCUACCAAGGCGACGACGGGUAGCCGGCCUGAGAGGGUGACCGGCCACACUGGGACUGGGAUACGGCCCAGACUCCUACGGGAGGCAGCAGUGGGGAAUAUUGCACAAUGGGCGCAAGCCUGAUGCAGCGACGCCGCGUGAGGGAUGACGGCCUUCGGGUUGUAAACCUCUUUCAGCGCCGACGAAGCGCAAGUGACGGUAGGUGCAGAAGAAGGACCGGCCAACUACGUGCCAGCCGCCGCCGUAA